GGUAAUUCCAGCUCCAAUAGCGUAUAUUAAAGUUGUUGCGGUUAAAAAGCUCGUAGUUGGAUCUCGGCGGGCAGGGGGUGGUUCGCUCUUCAGCGCUACUGCCCCGCUUUGCCCGUGUGAUUGGCGGAGGUUUCGGGGUGCUCUUCGUUGAGUGACUCGGAGCGCCGUCAGGUUUACUUUGAAAAAAUUAGAGUGCUCAAAGCAGGCUUUUCACGCUUGAAUAUUCGUGCAUGGAAUAAUGGAAUAGGAACUCGUUUCUAUUUUGUUGGUUUUCGGAAAUCGAGUUAAUGAUUAACAGGGACAAUUGGGGGCAUUAGUAUUCAGACGACAGAGGUGAAAUUCUUGGACCGUCUGAAGACUGACUACUGCGAAAGCAUUUGCCAAGAGUGUUUUCAUUAAUCAAGAACGAAAGUUAGAGGUUCGAAGGCGAUCAGAUACCGCCCUAGUUCUAACCAUAAACGAUGCCAGCUAGCGAUCUGCCGAGUUUUUUUUGUAGGCUCCGCAGGAAGCUUUCGGGAAACCAAAGCUUUUGGGUUCCGGGGGAAGUAUGGUUGCAAAGCUGAAACUUAAAGGAAUUGACGGAAGGGCACCACCAGGAGUGGAGCCUGCGGCUUAAUUUGACUCAACACGGGAAAUCUCACCAGGCCCGGACACUGGAAGGAUUGACAGAUUGAGAGCUCUUUCUCGAUUCGGUGGGGUGGUGGUGCAUGGCCGUUCUUAGUUGGUGGAGUGAUUUGUCUGGUUAAUUCCGAUAACGAACGAGACUCUGUCCUGCUAAAUAGUUGGGUCGUCCUUCGUGCGAUCCAAGUUCUUCUUAGAGGGACUGGCUGCGUCUAGCAGCACGAGAUUGAGCAAUAACAGGUCUGUGAUGCCC
rnacentral:rRNA from 1 species